GACAGAGGGGACUAGCGUUGUUCGGAAUCACUGGGCGUAAAGGGCGCGUAGGCGGCUAUGUAAGUCAGGGGUGAAAGCCUGGGGCUCAACCCCAGAAUUGCCUUUGAUACUGCAUAGCUUGAGUUUUAGAGAGGAUAGUGGAAUUCCUAGUGUAGAGGUGAAAUUCGUAGAUAUUAGGAGGAACACCAGUUGCGAAGGCGACUAUCUGGCUAAAUACUGACGCUGAGGCGCGAAAGCGUGGGGAUCAAACAGG
rnacentral:rRNA from 1 species